rnacentral:hammerhead_ribozyme from 1 species
AUCCAUAUGACGAGUUCCAAACAAGACGAAAUAUAUGUCCUGGAU